AGCAGAAUGGCGCAGCGGGAGCGUGCUAGGCCCAUAACCCAGAGGUCCGAGGAUCAAAACCUCGUUAUGCUA
rnacentral:tRNA from 1 species